UGGAUUUUUUACAAUUAACCUUUAUAAACAGCGUUCAAAAUAAUUAUUUCCAUUUGUUAGAGUGAAUUCUACAAAAUGGUUAUAAUAACCGUUGAACGUUCCAAAGUAACUUCAGAUGAGUACACAAAAAAAGCUGUUGAAGUGCUAGCUUACGCAUACCAAAAGUCUACUGCCAUAAAUACUAUAGUGGAACUAUUGGUAGAAAAAUUCACAAGUGAGAGUCAUCAUAAAUGGAGCGUAUUUGCUGAUCCCGUGGCACAACAUUUGGAAGCACUGAUGUAUAUAGAAUUAAAGGCUGAUGACUCUUCCAACGGAGGCCCGGUUACUUACUACUGGUUAAUUUUAAACUUAUAACUCGUUUUCAAUUUAUUUGAACGUAAACUUA